UACAAGUGGUGUGGAUGGGAUGCCACACAGGCUCAUCACAGUGGCAGAGAACCACCUACCAUCGACAACAGAGCCAGUAUAGAAUAGAGUCUCCACACGGAAAUGGCAAGGCUCCAUAGCUGGUGCCAUUUUCCUACUCUUCUUAGCAGCCUGGGAUUGAGCCUCAGAGAAAGGGUAUCAGCGCUGGAGUCACAGGAGAGCUACCUUUCUCUAGAGGACUGAUUUGAGGCCUGGAAGGCAUGCUGGAUUAGGAGGACCUUCAUGAAUCUGAUGACCAUUGGAGCCUUAACAAAUCACCAUGCCUUUAAUGAUAAAGUAGGAGAAGGAAGUCUUUAAUUGGCUUCCAGUUGCCAUCAUGAAGAUCUCUUAUUUACAGUCAAAGAAUCCCAAAGAGAACUAUUGUGAAAAAUAAGAGCAUCUUAAUUGACUGCCUUAAAGCUAUGCAUUUCAGACAUCACAGAGGCUGAGCUCUCCCUUGAGGAUGGAUGGAUACGAAAAUUCAACUAUUAUCUAAGGUUGGAGUCUCGUGCCCCCUACCCACCGCCCCAGCCUGUGCUCAGGUCUGCCCUAUUCCUCUCACCUCCAAUCUUCUGCCUUUGAGCAUUGAGUCUUUGCAGUUUAGAACCCUCCCUUUUCCUAGGAAUUGAAGAUUUCAGGCUUCUCUUGUGAGUAUUUUAAAACAAUCUUAUCUGCUUGAGAUUUACUUUUUCUUAGAAAUUUUUAGCUUGAGUAGGAGUCAAAGAAGAGUCCACCUAAAUAAGUAGUAUUUUACCAUUUGCUUAAUUAACUCAUGGCAUCUUUUCCAUUGGGUUCAAACACAGGUUACACUAUUUACCAGCUGGGUGACCUUCAGCAAAUUACUUAAUUCCUUAUUUAUAUCAUAAGGAUAGUAAUAAUACCUACCUCCUAAUAUUAUUAUAAAGUUUAAAUGAGUUGAUAGGUUUAAAGUAUUUAAAAUGGUGAUGGCCAUAUGGUAAACUCAAUAUUUGUUAGUGAUUGUUAUUAUUACUAAUAGGGCUAUCAUUUCUAAAGUUCAAGAUAAAAGUUGGUUUUCAGGGUACUAGCUUUUUUUGAUAUUAACAAAAACUAUGAACAUAGGCUAUCUACCUAUAUGAAAAUUAAAUAUGCACUAAUAUUUUAAUUUGUGUUCAACAUUUUUUAUAAAAGAAAGAAGAUACAAAUGAAGUUUUCUAAAGCAAGAUCUUAGGCAAUGAAACACAAGGCACUUUUAUUUGUAGGAAAGGAUGACGAUAGAUUAGUUAGAAAAAAUUACACAUAAAAAGGGUUUAGUGUAGUUACCAAAUGCUUAGGAUUGUAUGAGAUAAGAAAGUUGUGUAGGUUAUUAAUGCAGAGUUUAGUGUGUGUGUGUGUGUGCACAUGCAUCAGGUAAGUGUUAGCUAAACACGGGCAAGACAAUAACUAUUGCCAGGUACUUUCAUACUUGAUCUUGCUCCACAAUGACACUGUGAGAUCCUUGGUUAUGGAUAAAAAAUCUAAGGCCUAAAUAGGCUAGGUCUUUAAACACAAAUCUUCUGAAUCUAGUAUUCAUUACUUUAGAUUGAAGUCUGGUGCUCUUUAGACUCUACAAUAAUUAUACCCAUAUUGGGCACAGGGGAGAGAAAAGAACAAGAUAGACAUGGUCCCUGCCUUCUUGAAGCUUCCAAUUUAACAAAGAAGACAAACUUCAAAAAAGUAAUUAGAAGUGUUAAAAAAAAAUUAAGAGAACUUCUAGGUAGCUAAAGGCAGUGGUGGCCACAAAGCUAUCAGUCUCCCACUAUAUCUCCCCCAAACAAGAUGGGAAAUGUAAACCUACACAAAAACCAAGCCUUCAGCAUGACUUGAAGACAUAAAAUGCCAAAGCUUCAAAGAAAGCGUAGAUAAAAAAAAUAGAAAUUUCCAGAUCCUAGUGCAGUCUUCCAUGCUGCCACCUCCCAUGUGCCAGCCACAAGGCAAAAAGAGAAAAACUGUGGGAAAGAUAGAAGGAGAAGGCUAGGGAGGGGGCACAGAACUGAUCCAACAUCAGCCUCAGAAGGAUUAAGUCUACCUUAGUCUGAAUAUUCUAAGAAAGCAUCUGAAUAGAUCAGAGCACGGAUUACAAGGGAAGGAAUCCAAAAGUCCUUAUGGGUUAAGAUUGCCCUUAAGGGGGCAAUCUUUGAAACACAUAGCUUCUAGAAGAGAAACAAAAGCAAUAAAAGAGAAACUCCCCUUGGCAAUUAGGUGGUGAAAAGGAAAAGAGCUAAAGGGGGAAAUGCAGGGUCCUACAGCAUAGAAGAAAAAUAUAAAACCAGAGGACAUGUAGCCUUUCUAACCCCUACCCACACAAACAAACAGAUCUGCUUAAAGUGUCUGGACUUUGUUAUGGAGAGAGAAAGGACAUCACUAAACUAGGAAUCUUAUGAAAUACUCCAAUACCCCAAAAAAUGAACAAAAGGAAAAUCAGCAAAUCCACCUAGAACUGUUUUAAAAAAUCAGAGAACAAAAUUUCACCCACAUGUGGAUAAGUUUCCAUAGGAAAAAUAACCAUAUAGCAGAAGAAAAUGGUAAGAAAAAUAUAAUUAAACAUACAUUUGAGAAUAUGAAAAACCACUGUGUAAGAAAUUUAAAAACUAAGAAAGGACGGGUGCGUGGGUGGCUCAGUCAGUUAAGCGUCUAACUCUUAGUUUUGGCUCAGGUCAUGAUCGCAGGGUAGUGAGAUCAAGCCCCAUGUUAGGCUCGUGAUCGGCAGGGAGUCUGCUUGAGAUUCUCUCCCUCUCCUUCUCCCUCUGCCCCUCCCUCCACUUGCUCUCUCUCUCUCUCUCUCCCUAAAAUAAAUAAAUAAAUCUUUUUUAAAAACUAAGAAAGGAAAGAAUAAUAAAAAAAAAAAACCAGGGAGAUAAGAAAAGACAGUUGACUUAAUUCAUGAAAGAAUUAAAGAAAAGACAAAAUUAUCUCAGAAAUAACCAAUUGUAAGGUACCCAAGGAAGAAUAGAUUCAAGUGAAAUUUAAUAAGGGACAAUGAAGAAAGACAAGCAAACAACCAAGAUAAUGAUAAGGAGAUAAAGAAAGAAGUAAAACUGAUCAUAGAGAAAGUAGGAAAAAUGAAUGACAGAA